AAACCAUCACCUCUAGCAUUACUAGUAUUAGAGGCACUGCCUGCCCAGUGACAUACGUUUAACGGCCGCGGUAUCCUGACCGUGCAAAGGUAGCAUAAUCAUUUGUUCCUUAAAUAGGGACUUGUAUGAAUGGCUUCACGAGGGUUUGACUGUCUCUUACUUUUAAUCAGUGAACUUGACCUUCCCGUGAAGAGGCGGGAAUAAUACAAUAAGACGAGAAGACCCUAUGGAGCUUAAAUCUACCUAGCUUAAGCAUUAUCAUUUCUUCCCUAAGGGGGUUAAUAAAUCUGCCUUAUUAAGCUUAAGAUUUUGGUUGGGGUGACCUCGGAGUAUAAAACAACCUCCGAAUGAUUUUAGCCUUGACUUGACCAGUCUAAGCAUCUAUUCAUCAAUUGACCCAAACUUAUUGAUCAACGGAACAAGUUACCCUAGGGAUAACAGCGCAAUCCUACCCAAGAGUCCAUAUCGACAGUAGGGUUUACGACCUCGAUGUUGGAUCAGGACAUCCAAGUGGUGUAACCGCUACUAAUGGUUCGUUUGUUCAACGAUUAAA
rnacentral:rRNA from 1 species